ensembl:lincRNA
CGGACAGGGGUACGAGUGGGCCCCGCUUUCGGCGCUAAUACCAGGAGCUCUGAGAGGAACGUGGGCGAGCUCGGAAGCUGCGCCAUGGAUCUCGGGUUUCCCAGGUUGGCCUCAAACUUUCUCUUAGCUGAGGAGGACCUUGAACUUCUGAUCCCGCUACCCAAACCCACCUCCAGAGUGCUGGGAUUAAGGGAGUUUUUGGCCUUUGAGGAUGUGGCUGUGGAGUUCAGCCAGGAAGAAUGGGUUUUGCUGGAUCCUUCUCAGAAGAAACUGUACAGAGAUGUGAUGCUGGAGACCUGCAGUAACCUUACUUCAAUAGGCAUCAAAUGGGAAGACAAGAACAUUGAAGAGCAGUACAAGCAUUCUUGGAGAUUCCUAAGGGGACAAACCAUCUGAACACAAACAUGGUUCAUGUGGAAUACAGCAACAA